ACCCAAGUAGCUCAGUGGUUAGAGCGAGGUUAAUUUAGCCAUAAAAAAUCCACGACCUUUAAAAGAUGGUUGAGAGACGCAGGUUCGAAUCCUGACUUGGGUG
rnacentral:tRNA from 1 species